rnacentral:rRNA from 1 species
GAUGAACGCUGGCGGCGUGCCUCAAACAUGCAAGUCGAGCGAGGCUAUGAAUUACCGCAAGGUAAGGCAUAGCCUAGCGGCGAACGGGUGAGUAACGCGUGGGUAACCUACCUGGAAGACAGGGAUAACGAUUCGAAAGGGUCGCUAAUACCUGAUAAUAUCCAUCUGCCGGAUGGCGGAGGGAAGAAAGGGGAAACCCGCUUUCAGAUGGGCCCGCGUCCCAUCAGCUAGUUGGUAAGGUAAAGGCUUACCAAGGCGACGACGGGUAGCCGGUCUGAGAGGAUGUACGGCCACACUGGGACUGAGAUACGGCCCAGACUCCUACGGGAGGCAGCAGUUGGGAAUCUUAGGCAAUGGACGAAAGUCUGACCUAGCGACGCCGCGUGAGGGGAAGAAGGCCUUGGGUUGUAAACCUCUGUCAUGGGGAAGAAGGAAGUGACGGUACCCAAGAGGAAGCCCCUGCUAACUACGUG